rnacentral:misc_RNA from 1 species
AAAGUCGUAACAAGGUUUCCGUAGGUGAACCUGCGGAAGGAUCAUUAACAAUGGAACAUUAACAAAAAAAUGGUCCGCUUCGCAAAAACAGAAUCCAUAACUUGUGUGCACUCACUGAAACGUCUGAUGCCUUGGCAGCGCAGCGUCUGGACGACGGCGGGUUUAUGACCCGUGGCUUCCAGCGGGGACCGACAAUUGCUUGGUUUCCCGGCCUGCCAAGGUGAUUCAAUAUCAAACUUUGACGCAUCCAAAUUUUUUGCCUAAAAUUCGUUUUUGAAAUACAAACCAAAAACAACUUUCAACAACGGAUCUCUUGGUUCUC